rnacentral:rRNA from 1 species
CUUACUACUGGUAACUGGGAAUUCUAGAGCUAAUACAUGCCGAGACAGCCCCAUUCUUUAUUGUAGGGUGCAUUUAUUAAUAAAAACCAAUGGCCUCCGGGUCCGUUGGCGAUUCAUAAUAACUUUUCAAAUCGAUGGCCUUGUGCUGACGAUGCUUCAUUCAAAUAUCUGCCCUAUCAACUUUCGAUGGAGGAUAGAGGCCUACCAUGGUGAUGACGGGUAACGGGGAAUAAGGUUCGAUUCCGGAGAGAGGGCUGAGAAACGGCCCUCAAAUCUAAGGUUGCAGCAGGCGCGCAAAUUACCCAAUCCUGACAUGGGGAGGAUGACAAUAAAUAACAAUGAGGGUCUUUAGGGCUUACAAUUGGAAUGAUACAAUUUAAAUCUCUUAACAGGACAUUGGAGGGAAUCUGGGCACACCCGGAUUCCACUCCAUACUAAUUAAAUUGUGACUUAAAAGUCUAU